rnacentral:rRNA from 1 species
GACGAACGCUGGCGGCGUGCCUAACACAUGCAAGUCAGGGGAGAAAAGGGUAGCAAUAUCCUGAGUAAACCGGCGAACGGGUGAGUAACACGUAGGCAACUUACCUUGAGAACGGGAAUAACCCCGGGAACCGGGGCUAAUACCCGAUGUUAUUCCGUUGUAGCAUUGCAAUGGAAUAAAAAGACCCGCAAGGGCGUCACAAGAUAGGCCUGCGUCCCAUUAGGUAGUUGGCGGGGGUAACAGCCCACCAAGUCGACGAGGGUAGCUGGUCUGAGAGGACGAUCAGCCACACUGGAACUGAGACACGGUCCAGACUUCUACGGAAGGCAGCAGUGAGGAAUAUUGCUCAAUGGGCGAAAGCCUGAAGCAGCGACGCCGCGUGAAAGGAUGAAAAUCCGUUUAGGAUGUAAACUUCUUUUGCGGGGGAAGAAUGUGCGCCUUGGGCGCA